GUGAGUCUGUGUUACUGGGCUCUGAUCUUGCGGCCUGGGCUGUGGGAAUCCGUGGACAUCCGGACGGACACAGCUUUGGCAGCUCCGCGGACCCUGGGGUUCUACUGAUUUGCUUUUUCUUCUCUUGUCACUAGCAAAUGGCGGAUGACGCCGGUGCAGCGGGAGGGCCCGGAGGACCCGGGGGCCCAGGAUUAGGAGGCCGCGGCGGCUUCCGCGGAGGAUUCGGCAGCGGCCUUAGGGGCCGCGGUCGUGGCCGAGGCCGUGGCCGCGGUCGAGGCCGCGGGGCUCGUGGAGGUAAAGCUGAAGACAAGGAGUGGAUCCCCGUUACCAAGCUGGGCCGCCUGGUUAAGGACAUGAAGAUCAAGUCCUUGGAGGAGAUCUACCUGUUCUCCCUGCCCAUUAAGGAGUCUGAGAUUAUUGACUUUUUCCUGGGUGCAUCUCUAAAGGAUGAAGUUCUGAAAAUCAUGCCAGUGCAGAAGCAGACUCGGGCUGGCCAGCGGACCAGGUUCAAGGUUAGUUAGGAUCGUUUCUUGGCAAGAGCCGUUUGAACAGUAGGGCUGUACUUAACUCUCUCACUCUGCAUGGUUACACUAGGCUUUACCCGUGUGACUUUCGUACCGGGAGAGAGAGAAAAGGAGUUCCUCCAGUACUUGGGAUUGGCCUCACAGUGGCCUUUCUUGCUUAGAGGAGCACCACAGGUCCUGUUUGGGAUGUGCUGGUGGCAUGAGGUAUCUACAGCCAUUUCACUUAAGUCUUUUCACAGGCCUUUGUCGCUAUUGGGGACUACAAUGGCCACGUUGGUCUUGGUGUUAAGUGCUCCAAGGAGGUAGCCACUGCCAUCCGAGGGGCCAUCAUCCUGGCCAAGCUUUCGAUCGUCCCAGUGCGGAGAGGCUACUGGGGGAACA
rnacentral:lncRNA from 1 species